CUCUCUCUCCGGUUACCAAGUUGAAAUAGCUGAGGACCUGACCAAUUUUGAAUUGAAGCAAAAGGUGCUGGAUGUCUCACGUGGAGUUGACUGGACGAGAUACAACGGCCGCUGACACUUUGCUUUUUAUUUUUAUCCCACUGCAUUCACGGCCAAAUUUUAGGCAGCAAUUCAUCGACCAUAUCAUUCAAUAAAGACGUUCGAAAAUAUUUUAAUGAAUGCUACUGUCCUGGCUUGAAAGGAAAAUCUAAAGCGAUAUUUGUCUCAACUCCAUUCGGCUCCGCUGGAUGGAAUCCGGUUUCGCAGUUAGAUUGUGUAGGAGGAUACAACCCACAUUUAUACGACAAUUUCCUUGUUAUUUGGCCAACGUCUUACGUUCUGUCUGUUUCAAAUGGUGGAUCACAAUUUAUUACGGAAUUCAGUACGGAACUGAAGAAAUCGAAUGCAGCAAACGACACAACUCUUGCGUCUUUCAGGACUGCGGACUGCCAUUAGUACCAUAAAUAAUCGCAACAACCUUACUCGAUACCGAAAACGUCAGUUUUGGUCGAUUCAGCAAUGGAAUGUUUAAAUUUCGCAUCAAUUUGUUCAAAACCAAAUAACGAGUCAAGUCAUGACAAAAUAACGGAUUACACGACGAUUUUAUUGACUGUACUUUUGCUUUUACGAGCUAGUCGUACAUGCCCGCAAGACAUAGGAGCACAUAAACAAUACAGAAGACGAUAGUGCCCUUUUGUCGGUGUUCUUCACAAGUCGUGGAAUUUUGUAUACCAAAACAAAAGUAUGGACGAAGCGCGAGUCACGUACAAUACGAAAAUUAAAAUUUGCCA